rnacentral:pre_miRNA from 1 species
AUAGUACUUCCUCCGUCCGAAAAUACUUGUCCGAGGAAUGAAUGUAUCUAGAUGUAUUUUAGUUAUAGAUACAUCCAUUUCUAUCAUUUUUGUGACAAGUAAUUCCGGACGGAGGGAGUAUUGG